rnacentral:rRNA from 1 species
UGGCACUUUCAGUGUCCGAGUUGUAAUUUGAAGAAGGUAUCUUUGGGUCUGGCUCUUGUCUAUGUUUCUUGGAACAGAACGUCACAGAGGGUGAGAAUCCCGUGCGAUGAGAUGUCCCAGACCUAUGUAAAGUUCCUUCGAAGAGUCGAGUUGUUUGGGAAUGCAGCUCUAAGUGGGUGGUAAAUUCCAUCUAAAGCUAAAUAUUGGCGAGAGACCGAUAGCGAACAAGUACAGUGAUGGAAAGAUGAAAAGAACUUUGAAAAGAGAGUGAAAAAGUACGUGAAAUUGUUGAAAGGGAAGGGCUUGAGAUCAGACUUGGUAUUUUGUAUGUUACUCUCUCGGGGGUGGCCUCUACAGUUUACCGGGCCAGCAUCAGUUUGAGCGGUAGGAUAAGUGCAAAGAAAUGUGGCACUGCUUCGGUAGUGUGUUAUAGUCUUUGUCGAUACUGCCAGCUUAGACUGAGGACUGCGGCUUCGGCCUAGGAUGUUGGCAUAAUGAUCUUAAGUCGCCCGUCUUGAA